CAAUAGCGUAUAUUAAAGUUGUUGCAGUUAAAAAGCUCGUAGUUGGAUUUCUGGUGGGAGCGAUCGGUCUGGCGCUUAGCGCGAGUACUUGCAUCGUCUCCGGCCAUCCUUGGGGAGAGUCUGUCUGGCAUUAGGUUGUCGGGCAGAGGAUCCUCAUCGUUUACUGUGAAAAAAUUAGAGUGUUCAAAGCAGGCUUAUGCCGUUGAAUAUAUCAGCAUGGAAUAAUAAGAUAGGACUUUGGUACUAUUUUGUUGGUUUGCGCACCAAAGUAAUGAUUAAUAGGGACAGUUGGGGGUAUUCGUAUUCCGUUGUCAGAGGUGAAAUUCUUGGAUUUACGGAAGACGAACUACUGCGAAAGCAUUUACCGAGGAUGUUUUCAUUAA
rnacentral:rRNA from 1 species